GAGGGAAAGGCGAAAAGAACCCCGGCGAGGGGAGUGAAAAAGAACCUGAAACCGUGUACGUACAAGCAGUAGGAGCCCCAUCACUCAAGUGCCUCGCACUGAGUGAUGCAAGAACAUCACCGAAAAUAGCGCCGAAUUUGCUAACAAGGUUGGUCGAUUUUUUCAAACCGUCGCGCAGUGUACCUAGAAGUACACGAGCAACGGAAGUUAAAAAAUCGGGCAAGAUUGAACGCAAAGGCAAGCGGGACAUUUGAGGAUGGGGUGACUGCGUACCUUUUGUAUAAUGGGUCAGCGACUUAUAUUCUGUAGCGAGGUUAACCGUAUAGGGGAGCC
rnacentral:rRNA from 1 species